GACGAACGCUGGCGGCGUGCUUAACACAUGCAAGUCGAACGGUAAGGCCCUUCGGGGUACACGAGUGGCGAACGGGUGAGUAACACGUGGGUGAUCUGCCCUGCACUUCGGGAUAAGCCUGGGAAACUGGGUCUAAUACCGGAUAGGACUCCGGACUGCAUGGUCUGGGGUGGAAAGCUUUUGCGGUGUGGGAUGGGCCCGCGGCCUAUCAGCUUGUUGGUGGGGUGAUGGCCUACCAAGGCGACGACGGGUAGCCGGCCUGAGAGGGUGACCGGCCACACUGGGACUGAGAUACGGCCCAGACUCCUACGGGAGGCAGCAGUGGGGAAUAUUGCACAAUGGGCGCAAGCCUGAUGCAGCGACGCCGCGUGAGGGAUGAAGGCCUUCGGGUUGUAAACCUCUUUUAGCAGGGAAGAAGCGAAAGUGACGGUACCUGCAGAAAAAGCACCGGCUAACUACGUGCCAGCAGCCGCCGUAA
rnacentral:rRNA from 1 species